rnacentral:rRNA from 1 species
AACGAACGCUGGCGGCAUGCCUAACACAUGCAAGUCGAACGAGACCUUCGGGUCUAGUGGCGCACGGGUGCGUAACGCGUGGGAAUCUGCCCUUGGGUUCGGAACAACAGUUAGAAAUGACUGCUAAUACCGGAUGAUGUCUUCGGACCAAAGAUUUAUCGCCCAGGGAUGAGCCCGCGUCGGAUUAGCUAGUUGGUGAGGUAAAGGCUCACCAAGGCGACGAUCCGUAGCUGGUCUGAGAGGAUGAUCAGCCACACUGGGACUGAGACACGGCCCAGACUCCUACGGGAGGCAGCAGUGGGGAAUAUUGGACAAUGGGCGAAAGCCUGAUCCAGCAAUGCCGCGUGAGUGAUGAAGGCCUUAGGGUUGUAAAGCUCUUUUACCCGGGAUGAUAAUGACAGUACCGGGAGAAUAAGCCCCGGCUAACUCCGUGCCAGCAGCCGCAGUAAAAC